UACGGAGGGUGCAAGCGUUAUCCGGAUUCACUGGGUUUAAAGGGUGCGUAGGUGGGCAGGUAAGUCAGUGGUGAAAUCUCUGGGCUUAACCCGGAAACUGCCGUUGAUACUAUUUGUCUUGAAUAUUGUGGAGGUAAGCGGAAUAUGUCAUGUAGCGGUGAAAUGCUUAGAUAUGACAUAGAACACCAAUUGCGAAGGCAGCUUACUACACAACGAUUGACGCUGAGGCACGAAAGCGUGGGGAUCAAACAGG
rnacentral:rRNA from 1 species